ACUGUUUUCAGUGCUGGGCCAUGUACAAGUCUGUUGAAAAACAAGCAUCAUUGAGGGUGAUAAUCCCGUUCAUGAUAUGGACUACCAAGUGCAAUAUGAUACAGUCUCUAAGAGUCGAGUUGUUUGGGAAUGCAGCUCAAAAAGGGUGGUAAAUUCCAUCUAAGGCUAAAUAUUGGUGAGAGACCGAUAGCAAACAAGUACCGUGAGGGAAAGAUGAAAAGAACUUUGGAAAGAGAGUUAACAGUACGUGAAAUUGUUAAAAGGGAAACAAUUGAAGUUAGUCUUGUUAUUAUUGGUUCAACCUACUACUAGGGUGUAUUCCAAUGGUUAACAGAUCAACAUCAAUUCUUGGGUGUUGGAUAAGGGUUUUGAGAAAUGUAGCAGCAUCUUUUUUUUGCUGUGUUAUAGUCUCUGAAACUUUGAUACAGUGCCUAGGAUUGAGGAAUGCAGUGAGCCAUUAUAUGGUUGAACCCACACUAAGGGUUUUCUUACUGAGGAUGUUGAUGAAAAUAGCUUUAAAUGACCCGUCUUGAAACACGGACCAAGGAGUCUAACAUGCUUGCGAGUAUUUGGGUGUUUUGAAACCCUUAUGUGUAAUGAAAGUAAAUGUAAAUGAGAUCUGUGUAAAAAACAGUGCACCAUUGACCAGUCCUGAUUAUUUAUAUAAAGGUACUGAGUAAGAGCAAGUAUGUUGGGACCCGAAAGAUGGUGAACUAUGCCUGAAUAGGGUGAAGCCAGAGGAAACUCUGGUGGAAGCUCGUAGCGGUUCUGACGUG
rnacentral:rRNA from 1 species